AGGUAUCCCAAGAAUCCCCAGCAGAAGAUCAUCAAGAGGGUCAUAGCCCGGGAGGGAGAGUUCAUUAAGACGCUUGGCUAUAAGAACCGCUAUCUGAGUGUCCCUGACGGCCUCUAAUGUAUCCAGGGGGACCAUCAAGGCCACAGUCUGGACAGCAACAGCUGUGGACCGGUGUCUAGGGUUAGUCCACGGCCAUGCCUCCCACAUCAUCUGGCCGCCAAAUCGGUGCAGAGGAUCUAGCCGUCCCUCCCUCCAGAGCAGAGACCCCUGCUGAACUGGCACGUGGACACAACAGAGAGGACCUGAGCCCUAGGACCAUGCCUCAGGACUACCUGGCCUGAAUGUCUCCUUGCUGUCCCCAGUCCACCUGGUCGUGCUGCUGCUCCAGUUUCAACUGUUCUGUCUGCUGCUAUGGAACCCUGACCUGUUCACCAGACGUGCUACCUGUCCCAGACCUGCUGUUUUCAAUUCUCUAGAGACAGCAGGAGCGGUAGAAAUACUCUGAAUGAUCAGCCAACUCUGAAUGAAAAGCCAACUGACAUUUACUCCUGAGGAAGGUCAGACAGAACAGGACACCAUGGUAGAAUAAAGCCAGUAGGCUCUAAUGUACGUCAUGAAACACAGGUCAAUACAGAUUUCCUCAAGAGCCUGUGAUAAGUUCAAUGGCCAUUGAACACAGAUCAGCAGGGACAUCCUGCGGAGUUAUUGUGCACCUGAGGAUGGUCUAAUGGAGAUGGCUAGGGUCUCACCAUCAAUACUUUCUAAUAGGAUGACUAGAGAUGGG
ensembl:lncRNA